rnacentral:rRNA from 1 species
UAGAGUUUGAUCCUGGCUCAGGAUGAACGCUAGCGGCAGGCUUAACACAUGCAAGUCGAGGGGCAUCGGGAGGGAAGCUUGCUUUCCUUGCCGGCGACCGGCGCACGGGUGAGUAACACGUAUGCAACCUGCCCUCUUCAGGGGGACAACCUUCCGAAAGGGAGGCUAAUCCCGCGUAUAUCGGUUUCGGGCAUCCGAGAUCGAGGAAAGAUUCAUCGGAAGAGGAUGGGCAUGCGGCGCAUUAGCUUGACGGCGGGGUAACGGCCCACCGUGGCGACGAUGCGUAGGGGUUCUGAGAGGAAGGUCCCCCACACUGGUACUGAGACACGGACCAGACUCCUACGGGAGGCAGCAGUGAGGAAUAUUGGUCAAUGGGAGAGAUCCUGAACCAGCCAAGCCGCGUGAGGGAAGACGGCCCUAUGGGUUGUAAACCUCUUUUGUCGGAGAACAAAACCCGGGACGUGUCCCGGACUGCGUGUAUCCGAAGAAAAAGCAUCGGCUAACUCCGUGCCAGCAGCCGCGGUAAUACGGAGGAUGCGAGCGUUAUCCGGAUUUAUUGGGUUUAAAGGGUGCGUAGGCGGUCCGUUAAGUCAGCGGUAAAAUUGCGGGGCUCAACCCCGUCGAGCCGUUGAAACUGGCAGACUUGAGUUGGCGAGAAGUACGCGGAAUGCGCGGUGUAGCGGUGAAAUGCAUAGAUAUCGCGCAGAACUCCGAUUGCGAAGGCAGCGUACCGGCGCCACACUGACGCUGAGGCACGAAAGCGUGGGGAUCGAACAGGAUUAGAUACCCUGGUAG